CAGCCGGUUUUCAUAGGUAGGCUUAAAACUCACCGUCUCCUGGUUUUUUAAUCCAGCCUCUUAAACCACAACACCAAACUGACACAACCCUGCUGUGUUUUGAAAUGGUCCCAUUCAGGUUAGAAGGCAGAAGUUGUGUUGCUGAUAUUUUGAAAGGAACAAAGUAAAUGCCUUUAAGUUUCCCACCAGUUAAACGUGUGGAAAGGAUGAUUCUUUUCCCCUUACCCAAAGUUUUAAAACCCAAAAUCAGGACUUUUCAGCCUUUGCCCGUUAAUCCCACCCGACCAAAUCAAAAACGUUGGCUUCACCCAACGUUGCGAUCGUUGAACCUAAUCCAAGAAGCUACCAGUUGUUAAAACAAGUCAAGUUUGUAUUUCGGUGGCUGCCUUAAUUCGAUGAAUUCAAAUAAGUAAGGAAAUUAUUCUUGUUUAUUUUACUUAUUGCUGGUUUUCUGGGAAUAUCCAGGCGAAUGCUGGUACCACGUUCCUUCUCCUCUGAAACAGAAGUUAAAGCAAGUGUCCGUGGGACGAACGGCUGUGCUGGCGGUGGAUAAAAAUGGUAAUCUUUGGUUUCGUGCCGGAAUCACACCGAGUUACCCUCAAGGAUCUAGUUGGGAACAUAUUUCAAACAACGUCCGGAAAGUUUCUGUGGGACCCUUGGAUCAGAUCUGGGUGAUAGCUGACAAAGUCCAAGGGAGUCACAGCCUGAGCUGUGGAACUGUCUGCCGUCGGACCGGCGUCCAACCUCUGGAACCCAAGGGCACCUCUUGGGACUAUGGCAUUGGGGGAGGCUGGGAACACAUCACCGUACGAGGGAACGCCACCGAAAGGACCAAGAUGGCAGCUCAGGAUGGUCCAAGCAGCUCUCCUCGGGACCAUAGUAGCUUAGAAGUUCACGGAAGCUACGAGCCGCGAACCACCAUUUUUGUAGACGGCGUCCAAGGCUUGGACCAAAACGCUGUCCAGUGUUGACUGGUCUCUGAAGUUUCCACCUUCCGCUCAUUCUGGAUCACGGAAGCUACCCUGAAGACUAGGCUGGUGUUUGAACGCCCGUUCUGAGUGUGCCAAGAGGUCAAGUCAACUCCCAAGCAUGCCGUCUCCUGACCCUUCCUUCUUGUGUCCCUUUGGUGAGAGAGCAGGAGUGUUGACCCCGUCGUCCUCCUCGAAGGGAUGCUCCACCCUGGGUGUCUGCCAGGUGUUGUGCGGUUGUGAUCUCCCAGAAUUCCCCGCUUCUCCGUGAGCCUUCUGGGAGUUAAGAUUCAACACACACACACACACACACAGUGGAGAAGGUGCAAGAGGGAGAAGAUCUGGUUUGGAGAUGGUUGAAUGGAAACACUGCAUGUCCAUCACCCCAGUGGGAGAACUGGAUGUUUGUGUGUAUGUGGUGUGCGAAUCCUGCUUGUGUUGUUGUUUUAACCCCUUAAUUUAUUGUGGUGUUCCUUAGGCCUGGUGGAAUCGGAUGUUCUCCAGUAGCUCUGGAUUGGUUCCCAUCCAGUAAGCCAUGGUUUAUGCUGGCCAGUACAUGACCCAACAUGCAGCUCGACCAGGGUCCAUUAACCCUUUCUAUUAUAAGCCCCCACUCAAGAGUAUCUUUGACCCCCCUCAACCCUGGCUUUUCUUAGAUGUUCCACAGGCCGGACCUGAUCUAGGCUGAGCCAGCCUCCCUGACAGAGUUGACAUAAAUAAACGGAGCCAGUUUAGUUAAUUCUAUAGCAAGCACUUCUAUAUAUAUAUAUAUAUUUUAAAUUUCUCCAAAGGCCCAGGGGUCCUUACAUUUGUCACCCAAUACUGACAAUUAGCAGAGAAGAAGCUGGGGGGGAUUGGAAGCCAAGAUUGGCCACCCCUGAGGGAAAAAACAGCCGUGAAAAUGGUCAGUUGCCUGUUGAUCUAGAGCAGUUUAUGAAUCUCAGCUACUCAAAGAUAGAGAGACUGACC